ACACUGAUGGUGAAGUGGUUAUCAUGCUUGCCUUCCAUAAUAAAAACUCCAGGUAUCCAGCAAGCGGCAGGGGUUCGAUUCCCCUUCAGUGUA